rnacentral:rRNA from 1 species
UGGGGAAUAUUGCACAAUGGGCGAAAGCCUGAUGCAGCAACGCCGCGUGAAGGAUGAAGGUUUUCGGAUCGUAAACUUCUAUCGAUAGGGACGAAAAAAAUGACGGUACCUAAGUAAGAAGCCCCGGCUAACUACGUGCCAGCAGCCGCGGUAAUACGUAGGGGGCAAGCGUUAUCCGGAAUUACUGGGUGUAAAGGGUGAGUAGGCGGUUGUAUAAGUCAUAUGUGAAAAUCCAAUGCUUAACAUUGGACGUGCAUAAGAAACUGUAGAACUAGAGUACAGGAGAGGUAAGUGGAAUUCUUAGUGUAGCGGUGAAAUGCGUAGAUAUUAAGAAGAACACCAGUGGCGAAGGCGGCUUACUGGACUGAAACUGACGCUGAGUCACGAAAGCGUGGGGAGCAAACA